GACGUAGGGUGCAAGCGUUGUCCGGAUUUACUGGGCGUAAAGAGCGCGUAGGCGGUCUGUUAAGUGUGAAGUGAAAUCUCCAGAGCUCAACUCGGAAACUGCUUCGCAUACUGGCAGGCUGGAGGAAUGGAGAGGUGAGUGGAAUUCCUGGUGUACCGGUGAAAUGGGUUGAUAUCAGGAGGAACACCGAUGGCGAAGGCAGCUCACUGGCCAUUAUCUGACGCUGAGGAGCGAAAGCGUGGGGAGCGAACAGG
rnacentral:rRNA from 1 species